GGGAGUAUUGAAAGAUUGGUCACUUUUGCCCAAAAUCACGGGCUAAUUAAAAGGACAAAUUUGCCCGACAUGUCCAUCAGUGUCGUCUUGAUAACAACAAAAAAGUCUUUCGCUGUGAUAAAAUACGGGCGACGCAAUAAACAUUUUGUAGGUUAUUUAGAAGUGUCUUAUUUUAAACUACAGAUACAAGUCCCCUUACUUAGGCUACAUGCUUUUGUAUCCUCCACACUAAGGUUCACUCUCGUGGUCAGUUCUGGAAACUUUUCUAAAUUGGAGCUUUGACAGUUUUAGGGACCUGCUUCUAUAAAAGGAAGUGUAAUUCGAUGUGAAGGCUCUGUUCUGAACGCUGCAGUACUGAAGAGGCUUGAUGCCAUGAAGGAUCAUUCUUCAGAAUUUCUACUACUUGGAAUUUAUGAGAACUUAUAAAGGCUCGUGUGCCUCGUGCUGACGGAGAUUUGGUUGGUAUCUUGCAACUGAUAUACUUCCAAUAAGUUUCUCUGGACUUUCACUAUACUAUAGGUAGCUCUAUAUACUGUCCUUGAGAGGAUGAUAUUCUAAUGUAACAUUUGGAAAUUUUAGAUGCGUACUUACACUGAAUGCUGCAACUUUAGUUAUAAAUUGCUGUACCAAUAUUUUUUCUUUAUAAACUUUCUUACAAUAAACCAGUAUUAUUCGUAUUGCUUAGCAUCGUUUAAGUGUAGUAUUUUAAGUGUCUUUUACAAAGUCUUUUACAAAUACAUUUGAGUGUCUUGGUUCUCAUAGAUUUUGUAUUUGUUAGCAUCCUACUAGUGGAUAUCUUAUUUACUAAGGUUUUUAAAUUCAUGUAUUUGAAAAACCACAGUAUUUGUCAAGAAAUCUGGCGUGCAAAAUGUUUUAAACUUAAAAUAUUCUCCAUUGUAAAAUUCAAGCUUGGAGAGUAUGCAACUAUGCACUAUUUUCUGGUUCUGACUGAAGAUUUGUCACAUUUGACGCAAGAUUGUCAAAUCAUCGUUUAUUCACUAUUGUAUUUGUUAUUUUCUAUGUAAAGAUUUUUAUAAAUUGAUAACUAAAUACUUUCUAACCAGCCGUUUAGUAGUGUUAAACGAGUGUUAUUUUAAGGGCACUUAUUUCAUUACCUGAAGAUUUAAUAAAAUUUGUGUUCAGUUUUAUUGUGUGAAAAAUAUCUAAAACUAGUAUCAUUAAACGUGAGUUGAGAGAGAAUUAAGAUUUGCCUAGUUUAAGUAUCAAUAUUCUAAAUAGUUCCAGAGGGUAUGUAUUAAAUGAAAUCUAGGGUCUCUCAAAGGCAGUAAACCAAAAAAUCUAAACCUAUGCAGAAACUGAUGGAGAUCUAGAUGAGACCUGAAGUGUAUCUCGGAAGUAUUUUAAGAACUACUGUUAGGCUUAUUAACAGUUAAAAUUUGAAGCUAGGCAGAGUGCUAGUUCAUAGUACCUUUCCUUACGGGUGACAAAGGCAACCCUUUUUCACUUUUAGUUGAAAACUACGGUAAUGUAUGAAAGAUAAUAGUAAAUAUAAAGGCCUGUCCACACGAGCGGGCCUGAUCGGCAUGCUCCGGGGUUGACGGGCAAAUUCUGGCGGGCUUACCCGUGAAUGUUGUCCACACGGGUGAGGCGAUGGAGAUGUGGGCGUGCCCGACGAUGCCAGUAGUGUGUGUUCAGUGCGGUACGAUAAACAUGGUGCCUACCGCAAAGAAGAUAUUGUGUAGCACUAUAAUUGCUUUGUGUGUAAUGAAAAAGAAGAGAAUGUGGUGCAAAGAAUGGCUCAGUAAAAGAAAUGUAUAUGGUUAACGUUCAUCUGCCAGGGUCGAAGCUCAAGCCAUUGGGCACCACCAUGGUGAUUUU